rnacentral:rRNA from 1 species
CCUACGGGAGGCUGCAGUGAGGAAUAUUGGUCAAUGGUCGGGAGACUGAACCAGCCAAGCCGCGUGAGGGAUGAAGGUACAGAGUAUCGUAAACCUCUUUUGUCAGGGAACAAAGGCGGGGACGUGUCCCCGGAUGAGUGUACCUGAAGAAAAAGCAUCGGCUAACUCCGUGCCAGCAGCCGCGGUAAUACGGAGGAUGCGAGCGUUAUCCGGAUUUAUUGGGUUUAAAGGGUGCGCAGGCGGUCUGUUAAGUCAGGGGUCAAAGCCCGGGGCCCAACCCCGGCCCGGCAUUUGAACUUGGCAGACUAGAGUAGGAGAGAAGUAUGCGGAAUGCGCGGUGUAGCGGUGAAAUGCAUAGAUAUCGCGAAGAACUCUGAUUGCGAAGGCAGCAUGCCGGCUCCACACUGACGCUGAGGCACGAAGGCGUGGGUAUCGAAAAGGAUUAGAUACCCCUGUAGUC